rnacentral:rRNA from 1 species
CCUACGGGCGGCAGCAGUGAGGAAUAUUGGUCAAUGGACGAGAGUCUGAACCAGCCAAGUAGCGUGAAGGAUGACUGCCCUAUGGGUUGUAAACUUCUUUUAUCUGGGAAUAAAAUGUUCCACGUGUGGGAUUUUGUAUGUACCAUAUGAAUAAGGAUCGGCUAACUCCGUGCCCGCAGCCGCGGUAAUACGGAGGAUCCGCGCGUUAUCCGGAUUUAUUGGGUUUAAAGGGAGCGGAGGGGGAUUGUUAAGUCAGUUGUGAAAGUAUGCGGCUCAACCGUAAAAUUGCAGUUGAAACUGGCAGUCUUGAGUACAGUAGAGGUAGGCGGAAUGCGUGGUGUAGCGGUGAAAUGCUUAGAUAUCACGAAGAACUCCGAUUGCGAAGGCAGCUCACUGGACUGCAACUGACACUGAGGCUCGAAAGUGUGGGUAUCGAACAGGAUUAGAUACCCGUGUAGUC